AAGACGUCCAUAACUCCACCUCCGGAUUAGGGCAAAAACUCCCCCAGUGGAUGCCAUCUCCUCCGCAGCCUCCUUUUCAUCUCUGAUUCGCUGCCGUAACACAGCCCCCGCGCAUCAUCGAUAAAUCUACUGCUGCUCUCGCCUCGCCUCGCCACGCGUGGCGCGUCUCCCCCUGGACGUCAAUGGCCAGUGUUUGAUACUUUGAUCUGCAAUCUAUCUAAAAAAGUGUUCUUUGGAGAGCUGGAGCAUUACAGUGUUCUUUGGAGAGCUGGAGCAUACAUGCAUUAAGGAGGUCAACUGGUCAAGAACGAUGGCAUUCUUAGCAGUACUAAUUAGUGGCUCCAGAGCACUAGACAAGGGGCUUGGAUUCCUAAUGGCAAACACGCGAGUCCUCCUCUCCAAGUGGAAUAAUCUUUUUACAUUAUAAUUCUUAUCUGAUGAAAAUUACUCCAUGAAUACCUGUGAGCAUGUGCCGAUAGUGAUGCACAUACACGCCGGCCGGCCGCGUGCGUGUCUACUUAUGGAGCUUCCGCCAUGCCCGUCAGCUGCAUGGUACCACCGUGAUUCACCACAAACCGUGGCUGCCUGCUGGUCAGACUUGCCGCAAGCCUGCAACGGCACAGAAAUUAUGAACUGCAUAUGCAGCUAUACGUGUACCUCUGCUGAAAUUCCCCAUCACUGAUGUUCGAAAGGAUCAGGGUCCGAUUUUAUACAAAAUGAAUACAAAAACAAAAGGCAAUGGCUCUGGAUCCUGACACCUGACGAGUAGAGUGAAAUUGGAAGUCCUCGGCAGUUUAUUGGUGAGGUCGCGAACGUGGCUUUGGGCUAGAGCUCUUUCCCUGCAGCAAGAUCAUCUUACCUGAUACAUAUCUGACAAGCCAUGCGACGGUGGAUUUGGAUAGCGGACAGGAUGCAUGGGAGAGUAUUAUCCUCCCACAUUAUCUGCCCGCUGUGUGAUCAUGCCCUUGAGACCGUAUGGAUGUUGUGGAAGGAGAGGAACGCCAUGAGUGUUCCAAUGGUCACCCUGACCUAUCAGAUUGGCGUGCAGGAGGAUGCCUAGGAGGUUGAGUUGUGGAAGCUCCCCGGAGAGGCAGAUUGUGUGGCAUCUAGAGAUAGACCAUGUAUAUUUUAGUUGCACAUUGUCUUUUCCUGGUGAGGUAAUCAUCGUUGGCUAACAAUUGAUCCUGGUGAUCUAACCACACCGUGUCCUUCUAAUACAUCACACACAAAGAUUUUCCAUUUUCCAAAAGAAAAAGUAAUGAAUGGGGACCAUCAUAUGUACUACAUUUCUUGAUUAAUAGACAUUU